UCAAUAACAGUCUCAGAAAAGAACUCAGUUAAUGUGCAGAAGUUGAGGCUGUCAGAUACAGGCCUCCCAGUAUUGCUAUCAUUAUCAUUGAGCAGAGAGACUUCCUGCGAGAUGAGGGUUGCUCUCGAACUUAUUUACCCAUUCUCAUUAUCAUUGAGUUGAUCUCAGAUUCAGUUGUUAGUGUUCUAGAGACUUCCUGCUAGAUGAGGGUUGAUCUCAGAUUCAAUUGUUCAGUGUUCUAGAGACUUCCUGCUAGAUGAGGGUUGAUCUCAGAUUCAAUUGUUCAGUGUUCUAGAGACUUCCUGCUAGAUGAGAGUUGAUCUCAGAUUCAGUUGUUCAGUGUUCCAGAGUUGGUGAAUUUGAAUAUCAAAUAUCAGUAAUAUCAGUUAUCCGAUUUCUCAGUAUGGAUAAGUAUAGAUGUCAGCUCUAGUA
rnacentral:lncRNA from 1 species